CCAUAAUUCUCCUCAUCUGGUAGCCCUGCCUGUACUUCCUGCCUGGCUACAUCCUGCCUAUCCAUUGUCUGAAACAGCUUUAUUCAUCAUCCAAUAAGAGAAACAUAUAUUCACACUGUACAGAAGGACCUUUCCCAUCUGGAGGAAGUUUCUCUGGGCCUCCAUACUCUGAUGAGAAGUGUCUGUCUGUUCCUUCCAGAAGACUUGAUACAGAGAAGCCUCCAGCCACAGUUACCCAUAAUGGUAGAGUCACUGCAGCAUGCAGGCCAGGCCAAGGAGGCCCAGAACUAGAAGAGAUCUUGGAGCCUUUGUCUCACUUACCUUCACACUGUGGAAGGGCCACCAGGCCAGUCAGGCAGCCCCAUGUUCCUGUUACAGCUGUUGCCACACAAAAGAAGAAAGAAAACCUGGAAUUUCUGGGGUGCCCUUCAUGCUUCCUGGACCCAAUUUUCCCUUUCAAAACUUGAGAUCCUUUAUCAACACCCCAAGUCUUUGCUCUCUAGUAAAUCCCCUGGCCUCUACCAAACGUUGGGUAUAAAAGUGUUUCCCAA